rnacentral:rRNA from 1 species
CCGGCGCACGGGUGAGUAACACGUAUGCAACCUGCCUGCCACAGCCGGAUAAUCGGGAGAAAUUCCGUCUAAUACGGCAUAAUGCAUCGACGGGACAUCCUGUUGGUGCCAAAGGUUAAUUCCGGUGGCGGAUGGGCAUGCGUCGCAUUAGUUAGUUGGCGGUGUAACGGACCACCAAGACGACGAUGCGUAGGGGUUCUGAGAGGAAGGUCCCCCGCACUGGUACUGAGACACGGACCAGACUCCUACGGGAGGCAGCAG